GAUGAAGAACGUAGCGAAAUGCGAUACUUGGUGUGAAUUGCAGAAUCCCGUGAACCAUCGAGUCUUUGAACGCAAGUUGCGCCUCAAGCCAUUAGGUUGAGGGCACGUCUGCCUGGGCGUCACAUAUCGUUGCCUGAUGCCAGUUUCCUCGUGAUGGGUGACUGUGCAGGGCGAAUGAUGGCUUCCCGUGAGCAUUGUUGCCUCAUGGUUGGUUGAAAAUUGAGUCCUUGGUAGGGAGCGCCGUGAUAGAUGGUGGUUGAGUGACGAACGAGACCCAAUCAUGUGAGACCCCUACCGAAUUUGGCCUUCAUGACACACAUGCGUCUUUGGAACGCUCAUGACGAGACCUCAGGUCAGGCGGGGCUACCCGCUGAGUUUAAGCAUAUCAAUAAGCGGAGGA
rnacentral:misc_RNA from 1 species